rnacentral:rRNA from 1 species
UACGGGGGGGGCAAGCGUUGUUCGGAAUUACUGGGCGUAAAGGGCUCGUAGGCGGCCAACUAAGUCAGACGUGAAAUCCCCCGGCUUAACCAGGGAACUGCGUCUGAUACUGGAUGGCUUGAGUUUGGGAGAGGGAUGCGGAAUUCCAGGUGUAGCGGUGAAAUGCGUAGAUAUCUGGAGGAACACCGGUGGCGAAGGCGGCAUCCUGGACCAACACUGACGCUGAGUGAGCGAAAGCCAGGGGAGCAAACGGG